CUUCUCUUACCAGCCAUCUCUACAUCCCCAUGUUUCUUUUCUUUUCCAUUGCAGAUCUAGGUUCAAGAGGAAGAACAUGGUGUGAUUCUCCAUCUUCUCAGAGAAAGCGGUCCAAUCAUCCCCGCGGUGAUUCCGUGUUUUAACAUUGGCGCCCACCGUAUAUAUGUUAUACAUGAUCACAUCUCGUUCUCUCCUCUGCUCUUCAGAUCUGUGUUCUUAGAAUCACAACUGAUUUUUUCUACAAUCCAUCUUACAGAUCUGUUUUCCUUCUAAGGUGAUUUGUACACAUUUCUCUUCCACUAAAGCUUCCUACCAUGUAUUGGGAUGUGUGAUUAUUUAAUAGAUCCAAAUAUAUGUGCUCAAUUACUCAUGUUUCGAAGUUUCAUAUUUUAAAAGCUCCACACAUGAUUUUUCGAAUAAAAAAUAGACUGCCAAAUCUGAGUUUCUAUACAUGAAUUUUUGAAUAAAAAGUAAACUGCCAGAUCUGAGUUUCUUCCUAAGGAUACUACAUGACGUUUUCUAGUCAACAACGGUCAGAUCUGGGCUUAUUUAUCCGGUUCAAAAUACAAACUCAAAAGCCAAAAAAGGUCCAAAUCUGUGCUUGUUGGGGCUUUAUUUGUGAGUUUCCUUUGGCCACAACUCUUAGAUUUGACCUUGCUCAAGCACCACUUGAUAUUGAUGGACUUUUAAGAUCUGAGCUCAUUAAAUUCAUUCAUCUUGAUUCCAUAAAAAUCAAGAUCCCGAAAUGAGCCUUUCCGAUCAACUUACUUUUGGAAAUUCGUGCACAAUCCUUUUUUUACCAAAAAGUGUAAGUUACAUACAAGGUACACUCCACAUUACACGCAGUAUAACCCUUAUUGCAUAUAAUUCUUUUGUGGAGCAAAACACUCUGAUGUUGCCAUGCCCAUCGGACCUUCUUUGGACCGCGCAUUUACACGACGACAUGACUUGAGUUUUCCGCUUCAUUAACCUCCAUGACAUCUGCCUUCGCACCAUUGUUGAUCGGCGUCUACCUAUUCAUUACAAGAAUCCGGUGCCCGAGAGUUGUUUACAUUUUGCACACGUACAAUGGCAGAGGUAUUACGGAACUGUUACCCACAUCUUUGGAAUGUCACGCCUCCAAGAAGAACUGUUAGACUCGUCUCCGGAACGCCGCGCGAUGUGGCAGAAAUGUACACACAUCUCCAGGACGCCGCGCGUCUUGGCAGAACUGUCACACACAUCUCCAGAUGAUGGGGUGAUGAUGCAAGGUUUGAUGAUGGAUGGAAGCUUUGGUGGGGAUUUUUGUUUUGCCGUAGGAGAAUUUUUGUGGGUUUCAUGGUGUUGGUUUGAACGAGGGUGAAACGAAAUAGGGUGUGACUCCAUGUUAUAUACCAAGCUGUGUUUGCAGGAAGAGUGAGGCGUGGUUGGAAAUUAUCGAGCUUGUGCGUGCAGGGGGUGUGUUAGAGAGAGAGAGUGUGUGUGUGAGAGAGAACAAAGGAAGGAAUAAGAUGUACAGAAGCAUGUAUUCUUUUUCUUUUUUUCGAAACUCACAUUCUUUA